rnacentral:rRNA from 1 species
AGAGUUUGAUCCUGGCUCAGGACGAACGCUGGCGGCGCGCUUAACACAUGCAAGUCGAACGGUGAACCGGGCUUCGGCCCGGGGAUCAGUGGCGAACGGGUGCGUAACACGUGGGCAACCUGCCCCUCACUCUGGGAUAACCCCGGGAAACCGGAGCUAAUACCGGAUACUCCGACCGGUCCGCAUGGUCUGGUCGGGAAAGGUCCGCCGGUGAGGGAUGGGCCCGCGGCCUAUCAGCUUGUUGGUGGGGUAACGGCCCACCAAGGCGACGACGGGUAGCUGGUCUGAGAGGACGACCAGCCACACUGGGACUGAGAUACGGCCCAGACUCCUACGGGAGGCAGCAGUGGGGAAUCUUGCGCAAUGGGCGAAAGCCUGACGCAGCGACGCCGCGUGGGGGAUGAAGGCCCUCGGGUUGUAAACCCCUUUCGGCAGGGACGAAGCGAUCGUGACGGUACCUGCAGAAGAAGCCUCGGCUAACUACGUGCCAGCAGCCGCGGUAAGACGUAGGAGGCGAGCGUUGUCCGGAUUCAUUGGGCGUAAAGAGCACGCAGGCGGUUUGGCAAGUCGGAUGUGAAAACCCGAAGCUCAACUUCGGGCCUGCAUCCGAAACUGCCCGACUAGAGGUAGGUAGGGGAGAUCGGAAUUCCUGGUGUAGCGGUGAAAUGCGCAGAUAUCAGGAGGAACACCGGUGGCGAAGGCGGAUCUCUGGGCCUUACCUGACGCUCAGGUGCGAAAGCUAGGGGAGCGAACAGGAUUAGAUACCCUAGUAGUCC